AAAUGUAUAAAAUAAUGUAAUAUCGUUUCAGUUGCCAUAUAUCUGUAUCUGGUGAAAAUUUAGAUAAAACACUUGUUUCAUUUGAGAGACAAUGCAACACGAAUAUAAAUGAUUAUUACAAUGAAUUGAUCAAAGGAGGAUUACUUGGAAAAGGUGUUUCCUUAACGCCCGUUUUUACUACUCCAUUGGAUAGAACUAAAUUUCACGACAUUAGAAAAAAAACAAAAUUACAGAUAAGUGAAAUCAUUGAACAGGCUAUUAAUGACAUACAAAACCACGGUCACACAGAUGAAGCAUUCGAUUUAGAGGGUCAGUGGCAGAAGAUAAAAGUGAAAAAGAAAGACGAUAUGCUGAUGUUUUAUAAAGAGGUUGUGGUCGCUCUAGAAAAUGCAACGAAUGUAGAAAGUGAUGAUGAAAUGGAAGAGGAGUCAGAUGAUAACGAAGACGAAUAGAAAUGUUAUAGAUAUCUUUAUAAUCUGUGCUAUAUUAUAUCAAUGGUAAUAUAUAAAAUAUUUCAAAGAUUAAAGUACAACUUACAGCCAUAAUAUUAUAUUCCAGCAAUUGCCCUCUGUGAUGUUUACAGAUACAGGAACAACAAAAUACUCGUGCAAAAAACAUCACGUGACAUAUAAGCUUGAAAAUAUAUUUAUAUAUAUUUUUUUUAAAUAUCAGAUUUUACAUAUUAUAAAAUUAAAUUUUAAAACAUAUGAGCACCCACUGUACAUUAAUUAAGAAAAACAAAAGAAUUCGUUUAAUCAAAACAUUUAUUUACGUAACCUUCAAG
rnacentral:lncRNA from 1 species